GCCACCAGCAAGAUGCCAUCCCGCCAAGCCAGGGGGCUGGAGGAGGUGCCCAUGGUCUGGCAGACACCGCCAUUUAACACAGGCCUUCUUGCUGGGGACGGGUUGUAAUUAGAACGAAGAACUCCAUGCGAAAGGCACAUUGUCAAAAAUCCAAUUUCCACUCUGAGAAAUGAGUGUGGCCCAGAAUAGAUUCAGAACGUGAUUAAAUGGGCCUCUGGAUGGAGACCGGGCUGGCCCAGCUCCAAGUAAGGAGCAGUGUCAGACUCUCCCUGGGCUCACCCAGAACAGGGCAUUGAAGGGAGGUCCUUUGCCGGGUGACCUGAGAAACUGGACUGCCGGUGUCGUUUCAGGGGUGUGCCAGAAGAAGGGAAAUGUCAUUUCCAGCCUGCAGCUGUUUAGACUCAGGCUUUCGUUGUUGGUUUUCUGCUUUCUCUCCCGUUCGCGUGACCAGAAUUAGAGACCGUCAGCAAACAACAGUUAAGAAGACGACCUCGCAUCACCUGUGAAAGGGUGCCAUGCAAGGGAGCAACCUCUCUUACACAGACAGUACCAGGUGUCCCUGAACCCUUGAGCCAGUUGGCGGAAGGUCAGAAACAGGAAGUGGCCACUACUGUCACACUUGUCUUCUUAUCGCACGUAUAAGAUGGUUCAGUACAUCAGUAUACCUCCUGGAUGGUUCAGUACAAAACCGUUUCAUCACCGCAAGGCUCUACUAAGUACAGACCUCUCCUAGUCACCCCCUUUUCUCCCCCUCCCCAUCUUUCCUGAC